UACGGAGGGAGCUAGCGUUGUUCGGAAUUACUGGGCGUAAAGCGCACGUAGGCGGCUACUCAAGUCGGGGGUGAAAGCCCGGGGCUCAACCCCGGAACUGCCCUCGAAACUAGGUAGCUAGAAUCUUGGAGAGGUCAGUGGAAUUCCGAGUGUAGAGGUGAAAUUCGUAGAUAUUCGGAAGAACACCAGUGGCGAAGGCGACUGACUGGACAAGUACUGACGCUGAGGUGCGAAAGCGUGGGGAGCAAACAGG
rnacentral:rRNA from 1 species